CUGAGCCCUUCCAGAGCUACUGAAAGGCGACAAGAGAGCAAGAUGGGCAAGGCGAACGAUGGUUGAUGGGACUGACCUUCUGAUCAGGAAAUGAUCAAAUCGGGAGAGACCCCAGGACAGACCCAGGAUGUGCUUGAGUCUCUCAUCAAUCCUGGAAUCGUGGCCUUGGGAUCCCCCAGGUAGAGCGGGGGCAAGCUGUAAAGAAAAAGGACAUGUGAGAUGUUGGUUCCUGCUACACUGAUUGACAUACUUUUGGGUCAUGCAUCUCCACACCAAUGGUACUUCUGUGGCAUCACUCUGAAGAACUAUUUUUGGUUCCAGUUAGCACCUUUAUUUUUCUGAUUGUAGUUAAGCUUAAAACAGAAGACUGAAAUUGACCAGUUUCAGUCUUCAAAUGUCAAUCACCCUACUAAGACCAGGAAAUUAGAGCUAUCCUACAGCUGAAAACACUGUCUCUGUUUUAGAGUGAUGAAUAAAAAGCAGCAGGGGCCAUUCUGAUAACCUCUUUGAUAGCACUAAUGUAAUUAUUACAUUUUGCUGUCUGCAUGUUUGCGUAAUUCUGUUUAUGCCUGAAAUUCAAUUCCAGCUUAAUAAAACCAUCAAUUUCUUUUGGUUACUUCACCAAUA